rnacentral:snRNA from 1 species
GUGCUCGCAUCGGCAGCACAUAGACUAAAAUUGGAACGAUACAGAGAAGAUUAGCAUGGCCCCUGCGCAAGGAUGACAAGCAGAUUCGUGAGGCGUUCCAUAUUUUU